rnacentral:rRNA from 1 species
UUGGCUUAGAAGCAGCCAUCCUUGAAAGAGUGCGUAAUAGCUCACUGGUCAAGUGGUUCUGCGCCGACAAUGUAGCGGGGCUCAAGCGUACCGCCGAAGCUGUGGCAACAACACGUGAUGCUGGCGCCAGGAACUGGAGUGCUGGUGUGUUGUUGGGUAGGGGAGCGUCCUGCACGAGGUGAAGCCUGGAGGGAACUUCUGGUGGAUUGUGUGGGAGUGAGAAUGCAGGCAUGAGUAACGAAUCUGCGGUGAGAAUCCGCAGCGCCGAUUGACUAAGGGUUCCAGGGCUAGGUUUAUCCGCCCUGGGUUAGUCGGGUCCUAAGGCGAGGCCGACAGGCGUAGUCGAUGGACAACCAGUUGAUAUUCUGGUACCGCGUUGUGACCGCCCAUGCUGAAGUCAUUGUGCUAACCAAUUUGCUCACGCGCCCUCAUGGCUUUCGGGCCGUGAGCGUGUGUGGGUCUUGGGGCCCCGGUGAUGGUAGGCAAGCGUGUUAACAGGGGUGACGCAGACAGGUAGCUGCAGUGCGCCGAUGGUUGAGCGUAUUUAAGGUUGUGGCCCGUCUCCCAGGUAAAUCCGGGGGGCUUGAGGGGUGAGAACUGAUGAGGGACACACGCGUGUGUGGACUUGUGGUGAUCCUAUGCUGCCGAGAAAAGCCUCGACGUGAGGGCAUAACGCGCCCGUACCCUAAACCGACUCAGGUGGUCAGGUAGAGUAUACCGAGGCGUUCGAGUGAAUCGUGGUUAAGGAACUCGGCAAAAUUCCUCCGUAACUUCGGGAUAAGGAGGACCCCGUGACUUCCCCGCGCCUUGCGCGCGGGUGGGGUUGUGGGGUCGCAGAGAAUAGGGAGAAGCGACUGUUUAUCAAAAACACAGGUGCGUGCGAAGCCGUAAGGCGAUGUAUACGCACUGACGCCUGCCCGGUGCUGGAAGGUUAAGAGGAACCGUCAACACCCCCCCGGGGUGUGAAGCGGUGAAUUUAAGCCCCAGUAAACGGCGGUGGUAACUAUAACCAUCCUAAGGUAGCGAAAUUCCUUGUCGGGUAAGUUCCGACCUGCACGAAUGGCGUAACGACUUCUCCGCUGUCUCAACCGCGAACUCGGUGAAAUUGCAGUACGAGUAAAGAUGCUCGUUUCGCGCAGAAGGACGGAAAGACCCCGGGACCUUUACUAUAGCUUGGUAUUGGUGUUCGCUUGGACUUGUGUAGGAUAGGUGGGAGACUGUGAAGCUGCCGCGCCAGCGGUGGUGGAGUCGUCGUUGAAAUACCAUUCUGGUUCAAGCGGUCACCUCAACCUAGACCCGUGAUCCGGGUUGGGGACAGUGCCUGGUGGGUAGUUUAACUGGGGCGGUUGCCUCCUAAAAUGUAACGGAGGCGCUCAAAGGUUCCCUCAGCCUGGUUGGUAAUCAGGUGGCGAGUGCAAGUGUACAAGGGAGCUUGACUGUGAGACCGACGGGUCGAGCAGGUGCGAAAGCAGGAACUAGUGAUCC